GACGAACCGUGCGAACGUUAUUCGGAAUCAUUGGGCUUAAAGGGCGCGUAGGCGGCGGUGUAAGUUGGAAGUGAAAUCCCAUCGGCUCAACCGUGGAAUUGCUCCCAGUACUGCAUCGCUCGAGGGGGAUAGGGGUUUGCGGAACGUACCGGUGGAGCGGUGAAAUGUGUUGAUAUCGGUGGGAACGCCAGUGGCGAAAGCGGCAAACUUGACCCUUCCUGACGCUGAGGCGCGAAAGCUAGGGGAGCAAACGGGG
rnacentral:rRNA from 1 species